AUUUAAAGAUGAAGAGGCACUGCAUAUGCAGCCAGCAUCACAAACUUCCAAAGAAAUGUUUCUAUGGCUGCCUCUGCCAUCACUAUAGUGUUUAAGGGCCACCAACCCAAUCAUUUAUGUUUAAUGUAUGCUGCAAAGACUUUUAGAAAAGUCAGCUUCUACUUCGAGUGUUAGGUGCACUAAUUCCUAGCAGAUCGUCACCAACACUGUUAUAAGCCCUCCUACAUCCCUUUUUCUUAAAAACAGAGUUGAGAUUCUUUCUCCCUGGCUGCCUUCUGCACUAACAUUACCUCUGACCAGGAAAGCUAGGCAAGUAAAAGUGGGAAGGCUCUCCAAGAAAAGUCCCUUGGUUCUUUUUCAGCUAUGAGAGAAGCACCCCAUUUUCAUGCUUGUUCCAUGAGAUUCUAAUAUAAUUAGAUAGGAUAACAGCAGUUUUCAUUCUGAGCUCAAGAACAGAGAAUAUCACAGUAGCAGUGUUCUUUCUCCAGUCUGACCAUCCUCACAUUCUUAUGCCCUACUGGUUCCGAAAUGAGAUCAAUUCUUAAAGAUACAAUUAUUAUUUUUUAAGGACAAGCUUAGGAAAUAUGUUUUGUGUAUAUGUGGUCAGGGUGUAAGGAGGUAUGUGGAGGAGUAGGUAGGUAAGUUUAACACUGGGACAGGUAGGAGUGUAAACACAUUGUUUCUCUUUAAUGGUACCUACUGAUUCUAGCCUAAAGGACAGUUGUUAUCAGUAAGAGAGUAUAUACUAUGCCAGAAUAGUAGACACUCAAUCCCACAGAUGUGAGUUUGAGAAGUGCCUUGAUAAGCUCUUUAUGGAGAGUAGGAUGCCGCAGGCCUCAGAGAGUGUACACACACACCUGGCAGGGAAUGUCCACAGAACUGGAAGAAGCCUUAGAGUCCAUCUGAUCCAAAUGCCUCACUUUACAGAAGAAACUGAUGUCUACAGUGUGACCUGUCUCAGAAACACAGAACUACUCAGGGACGGAGCCAGGGUUCCCUGUGUUCUUGGGGUAUCCUCUCUGGUUUCUCCUACUGGUAGGCAAAGAUGAGAAGAGAGAUUCCAAAAGAAGCCUUGGGGCAGCAGGUGUUAAUUUGUAUAUAAAACCCCUGUUAAAAAAAAGGAAGUAGAAAGGUUCAAAGUUCGUGUUAAUAAAUACAAGCAGUAAGAAGCCAAGGGAAAGGAGGGAGGUGAAAGUCAAUACAGUUCAACUAGGCUACAACAAUAGAAGGGAGAUGAUAAAGGGAGGAUAAAGAAAAAAAAAAAUGUACUUAAAGGUCCUCUGGGUGGCAAAGCUCACUCUCUGCCUAAAAGGUUGAGUGGUGCCCUGGAAAGAGUAUAUGCUCUCUAGUCAAAGCCAUUUAGAUCUGAGCCAUUAACUUCACAAGUGACCUCUUCUCAGUAUCUUCCAACUAAGCGUUCUGCAUUCCCUAGACCUCCCCAGCUAGCAAGAUCCCUUUCAAAACUCAAAGUGCCUCAAUGCCUUUAAAAUAUCUGCCUCCCCCAAACAUCACAGAAAGUCACUGUGGGCUGUAAGCUUCUGCUUACCUGCUUUAUUUACCUUCACACCAUGCAUUACUACAUGACAUUAAAAUACACAUUAACAGCUUAUUUAUUAUCUGUCUCCCGGACUGUAAACUCCUUGAGGGUCAGUUUUGCUCCCAGACUUAUCCCUAGCACCUGGAAAAGUACCUAGCUAUAGUUAGUAGGAAUGUUACCAGACCAAGAAGGGAGCUGGAUAAAUACAAAAAUUACAACCUAGAAGCUUCUCAUUUGGUAAGAAAAGAGUAUUUCUGGUAAGAAUAGGCUAGGAAGGGCCUAGAUUUUGUUUAAGAGCCCAAAACAAAUCUCUGCUGCUAUUUGAAGUAACCACAUAUAAUUGACUUACAAACACAAAAACCAGAAAACAAAUUAGGCUCAGAUGAAGAUAAGGCAGUGAAAUAUGCUCCUAGUGUACAGUAUAUGUUGUGUAGGCAGACUUUAAGUCAGAUGCUUCUUUGUCUGCCCACCUCCACCUACUUCAAUCUAACUUCCUCCUCAAAAUAACGAGAAUAAAGGUGGUGAAAGAGUACCAGGUGAAUUGCUCCGGGGCAUGGAAUGGAUGCAAAGCAAAAUAUGAAAGAGCAGAGUGUAGUGCUUUUGUCCUUAAUGAAGGGUAUUCCUCUGUUUUUCCCUAAUCUCUGUGCCUUAGCUGAAGACCUGGAAGUUGCAGUCAUAGGACCCAAACCGUUUGUCCUUGCCGUAACUAGAAGUCAGCAGACUGCCCUUUCCCAGUUUCAAAGUUAGGUAAUUAAUGCCAGUGUCAACCUGCCAGCCUAGAGCUUGUAACUCCUUAUCAGCACCAAACAUUUAAUGAGUGUCUACUCAUCAGUGUGUUAAGUAUAGGUAGGACAACAAGCCUAGCAACUAUGUUCUCUGAACAUUACACCAUGUCACUUAACAUAGCUACACCUACCAUCUUCAUAAACAAGGACUAAGAUCAUCAGCAGCUCUCAUAGAAUGGUUUCAAUCAUUGUCCUGUCCAGCUCUUUUUUAGUGAACUGAUAAAGCAAUGUAGACAAUACAGGUCAGCUGUACAUGGAAAGUAACGUAAACAAUGAAGGACUUUUUUUUUUUUUUUAAUACAACAGAAUGUAGUCAAUCUCCAAGUUUGUUUACUAGUGACACUAAUUGGUAUGGACAAAUAGUGUUAUCUCAGUUCUUAAAUCAAGUUCUGCUCUUCUUGGCUCUGCCAUCCAUUCACUGGGUAAAGCCUCUUAUAGCACUGGCUUGCAUAAACCUAAAAAAAGGAAACAAUGUCAUCCACUAUAACUAUCUCUCAAUACUGGGUGAGGACAAAAUAGCACCAUAACCCCUGAGGACAGAAUAGUGUGAGGGAACUCCAUAGAGCCAAAUACUAUCUAAAAAUACGAGCAACUGAUCAUAUCAUUACAGAGACAAAUCAGCUAAAGAAAAUGGGAAGAAUGUGAGAGGAAAAGUCUACUCUAAACCAGGGGUAAAAUUCACAUAACUAGCCCUUGAACCUGUGAGAGCUCCAAAAGAUCCUACCAAGAGCAGUCUCAAAGAUGAGGUCAGCCCUUCAAGAUGGGUGGCUCUGAUAGAAGCACAUGUGCUAGAUUUAUCAUAUCUCAUGGCCCACUAGUCUUGGAACAAAAGUUUAAAGGUGAAUUAAGUUUUUUUUCUUCUCUUUUCAAAAUUCUUUUUUAAGUGAAUCAAAACAAAAACAAAUCUCUGAGCAGAAGUCAUAAGAGGAAUGUAAAACAUUCAUCAUAUUUGGGCUGACAAGUCUUAGUGACUGCUGCUGUUACAUUUGAAGAAAAGGAAGGAGCUGCCGGACCUAAGAGCUUGGGGAGAGCAUGAGAAAGUUCUUUCUUGCUGAAGACAAAGGGCCUGCAGUGAGAUUCUGUGGAAAUCCCUUAGCCUUGGCUUGUUAAGUCAAUUAAUUGGGAAUGGCGGAGGAGGUGAAUCACUCUGGAGUUUUGAGAAAAAUAAUCCUCUGCUGCUAAUGUGAAGAUUAUCUAUUUUUUUAAAAAAUCAAUUAAUUUAUUAUCAAGAUAAAGACACUUUAUAUUAAAAGAAAUACAUUAUGUUUGAGGUUCCACAUUACCCUUCAGGCAUUCAUACAGCUACUAUAUGGGGCAGGCUGAGAUCUUUCAGAUAAAGAUGAGAACAGCUCUAUUAAGUGAUUGGGGUUCUCCCCUAAAAUUCUGCUGGGCUGAGCAAAGAUGCAAAGAAUCACGGGCAGAGUUAAGAUUCUCUGGCUAGUUUUCCCCCAUCUGGACUUUAUUUAAAUUUGUCUCUAAGUGAAUUCACUUCACUGAAUGGUUCUCCCUCCUCAAAAGUGACAUGAACAAAAGGAAAAAAAAAAACUCUACUUCUCCUUCUUCUGCUAAUAAUAAGGGUAAAUUCUGAGAACUUUAGGUAUCAUUCAGUCUAAGAGAGGAUUAUGGUCCCCUAAGAAAUGGGUCUUCUCACCUCUCAAUCAUCUGAUUGUCAAGUAUGUACCUAGUUCAGACCCAUGUGGAAGAUAGAGAGGUAUUAAAUUCUUUAAGGAGCUUACAGUUAGUCCAAGAGCAGAACUAAUAAAACAAACUAAAAAGUGGUAUAAAAUAAUACAAAGUAUUUGUGUCGCAAAACUGUAAGGGCUGUGGGGACUCAGAAAGAGGGAACCGGAGUUCCCAUUGCGGCUCAGCGGAAAACAAAUCCAACUAGGAACCAUGAGGUUGCAGGUUUGAUCCCUGGCCUCACUCAGUGGGUUAAGGAUCUGGUGUUGCCUUGAGCUGUGGUGGAGGUCGCAGAUGCGGCUGUAGCUCCAAUUUGACCCGUAGCCUGGGAAACUCCAUAUGCCGUGGGUGCAGCCUUAAAAAAAAAAAAAGGAAAGAAAAGAAAGAAAGAAGGGGGAACCAGCCAGGGUAAGACAUAUUAGCGAAUAUUCAGGAAACGAUCUGAACUGAAAAGUAAAUGUAGCAUUCCAAAUAAGGAUGGCAGAUUUAUACCUUAGAAGUCUACUGUGAAAAGGGAAUCUGGGGUAAAAAGAGAAAGCCUUGAUUCAGCAUCAGAACACCCAAAGUCUGAUUUUUAAAUCCACUGUUUGGCUUUCAGAACAAUCUGGACUUCCAGAGUGAUUUCAGUCCUUAAAGGAAGAUUAAAAGUAAUGACAAAGCAGUUAGCACAAUGCCAGGCCCUCAGCAGACACUCAGUAAUGGUACUUGUUACUCUUCUAGAUAUUAUGCCAGUCUGCCCAUAAGAAUGGUGCUUCAUCAUCAUCUAAUGAUAUAGGGUUCUGACAGACUGAGGCACAAGGUGUUACCUCAGGGCCAAAGAGGAGAAGCUUUGUAGGAUGCAGUCCCAAAGAACUCAUGCUCUUUGAACCCAGCCAUAAAGUGAAGUAAAGAAUUAAGCUUACUGGAGAAAAUCCGUAUCUCUAGUGCUUAACCUCAGCUACUCUGAAGAGUGAGGUUAUCCUUUCCCUUGAUUUCCCUGUUAGAUUCUCAUAGAAUCUCCAUUAUGAGAAACCCACAUAAGCUUUCCUAAACAAGUUACCAAGGGGAGCAAAAGGCUUAAAAGCUAGCCUGGAAUUUCCCUGUUUUACCUUGAAAAUCCUACUAUGCCAGAGAGGCGCACAUAUGAAACAAGUAAGUAAGACAAAUCUUACAACAUGGGCUAAAUAGCUUAUAUUAGAUCCUAGCCAUAGACAAUAAAGAUACCCUUUCAGAAACUACUAAAUACUUCUUCCUAGGUACUCAUUUUUUCAGUUUAGUUGUACUUUCAAUUUAGCAUAAAUUGAAAACUUUAGUGUCAGACAUUAAAAAAGAUUUACUUCCAUACUUUUACAGCAGACUUAUAACCUUGAACUACAACACAUAAAGAACUCCCCCCAAAAAAAACAAUCCCGUGAAAUUCCAAUUAAGUAAGGUUCUCAUUAUAGUUAUUCACUACUGAGACUUGACAAGUCAUAAAAAUCUCUUCUGAUUGAAUGGAAUGAAUAUACACUUUUGACAUGUGAAUUUGUACACAGUGCUAUAUAAGAAAGAAGGGAGGGAAAGGACUUUAAAUGUUGGUGGUGCUUUUUAUUUUUUUACUCUGUGUAACCAAGAUUUGAGGAUCAUUAAAGGCUUUGUAAACCUUAAACACAAAAUUGUACUGCUUUCCCCACGUUGCAGCUGAGGUAACAGGGAGAUGAUGCAGGGUCACAGAGUUAAGUCAAUAACAGAUUUUUGGUUCAACAUUCCCUGUCCAUCAAAUAAAUACAUGGCUUUUCUGAAAGUGGCUUUUCUGUUGUUUGAAGUUUUGCUUUUUUGUUUCCAGUUGUGGAUGAGGGAACUUUAAAAGUGAUUAAAAUUUAGGGAUAGUGAAGUCAGUGCUUUUUUUCAACAAUACUUUUUCCAAUUACUGCAAACCUGAAAUACUUCGUCCUCUCCUAAAAUUCAAAUAUUCAAAAGUAAGGUAUGGUCAGAGCAAAAAUGGAUGGGUAUUCAUAUAGCACAUACGCAAAGUAUACUACAGUCUUUUCUUCAGUCCUGCCAUAAACAGAAUCUCAUAGAGACAAACAACGAAAUGGGUGAAACAUUUGCUCAUGGACAAAACCAGCUGCAGACAGACCCAAGGGCCAAGAAAAGUAAAGCAUUAUGUCAUUGCUCUCACCUCUAGCAGGCCUGUUAUAAACUAUUGUAACAACUUGAUAGAACUGCCCCUUACUACACAAGCUUAAUAUUCUCUAGAACAUACUCAUCUUAAAAGAACCCAACUCAGAGAAAAAUAGGAUUAAACUCUGUGUUCAUGCUUUCUGUCUUCUCAAUGCUUAGAAGAGGCAGAAAAGGAAAAUGUAAAACAAAUGCUCUUAACAGGGAAAAUGAAACAAGGUUAGAUGACCAAAACAAUUUUAAUUUUUACAAUGCAUGCAAGAGGACAUGCAGAACACAGACCACAAGACAAAUGCUCAUUUAUAUUCCAACAGAUUUUAGGAUAAAACUUUCCCACCUAUCUGCAAUCAGAUUUUAUGUAUGGCCAAAACUUUACUUCUCUAAAACAUCAUGGAGGAGACAGAAACCAAUCACGCUCAGGAACUAGGAAAAGUGAGUACAAGUAGAUGGAGGAUGCUCACUGUUUCAUGAUCUGUUUGCUCAGAAGGCAUCCAGGCCAAGCAUCAACCUUCAGCCUCCAACUGCCUUGACCUACAAAUAUUAUUUAAUGGUAGUAAAUGUUCCUGGGUCCUUGUCCUAUUAUUUACUGAUUUACUAUAGGUAAAAUAGACGGGGGGCAGGGUGGGGGGAAGAAGGAUGUUCUCUAGGGAUCAGAAUGUUUCACAUUUUUAUACUCUUGGCUCUUGUCUAGCUUGCUUUCAUGGCAAAUUGUGUGACUUCAGUAGUCAAAAUAAAACAUAAGCCUCUGUUGUUGUGGUUUCUAAAUUUCUGAAGUUUGAAUUUCCCACUAACAAGUUAGGAAACGUUUGGUUUCCCAAGCAUACCAUGUUAGCCACUGCCUCUGUGCAGGCAAACAGACUACAGGGAGGUGAAAACCAGUGAACUCAUCCACUCUGGCACAUAUGACUGCUCCCUGCUUUGGCCUUUUAUGUUAAAUCUAAAAACUGAACACCAGUGAAUUAAAGUAUGAAAGCCAAAUAAAAGAAGAAAG
rnacentral:lncRNA from 1 species